GUUUGAUCCUGGCUCAGAGCGAACGUUAGCGGCGCGCCUAACACAUGCAAGUCGCACGAGAAAGGGGCAACCCCGGUACAGUGGCGCACGGGUGAGUAACACGUGGAUUACCUGCCCUGGAGUGGUGGAUAACCUGCCGAAAGGUGGGCUAAUACAGCAUGAGACCACGCGGUUUCGAUCGUGAGGUCAAAGCGGGCUUCUGUUCACAAGCUCGCGCUCUAGGAUGGGGUCCGCGGCCCAUCAGCUAGUUGGUAGGGUAACGGGCCUACCAAGGCUACGACGGGUAGCUGGUCUGAGAGGAUGGCCAGCCACACUGGAACUGAGACACGGUCCAGACUCCUACGGGAGGCAGCAGUGGGGAAUCUUGCGCAAUGGACGAAAGUCUGACGCAGCGACGCCGCGUGGGUGACGAAGGCC
rnacentral:rRNA from 1 species